CUCACCAACCACCAAAUACAUUUAGCAAACAAUGGCUUCCUCUGCUCCUACAUUCUACACCAUGUUUCUGUUCCUCUGCUUUGCCCUCCUCUUAUUCUCUACAUCGGAGGUGGAAGCACAAUUUUGUGAAAAGCCUAGCAAAGUCCAAACAGGAGGGAAUCGUUGUGUAGCCUCAGGAGAGGGAAGUUGUUCAGAUCAGUGCGUCAACGUCGAAAAAGCAGUUUCCGGUGCUUGUAUGCGUCAUGGAGAUGGUUACGAAUGCCAUUGCUUCUUCGUAUGCUAAACACUUCAGUUCGUUUCCGCUCAUGCAGUGUCCUCUUAUAAAGUUUCCUAUAAAAUAAAAUAAUAUAAUGGAAAAGAAAACUUUGUAAUAUUUUCUACGAAUAUGGUUAAAGAAAUCUCUACCAAAGCAGAGGGUGUGUAAAACACUCUUCCGGUGAUGAAUGUAAAAAGUGUUAUAUCAAAUUGUAAUGUAUUAGCAAUAAAAAAUAGCAAUUUCUCAAA